rnacentral:piRNA from 1 species
CAUUUUACGUUGAUUGACUUUCAGAGA